UACAGAGGUCUCAAGCGUUGUUCGGAUUCAUUGGGCGUAAAGGGUGCGUAGGCGGCGCGGUAAGUCGGGUGUGAAAUCUCGGAGCUUAACUCCGAAACUGGCAUUCGAUACUGCCGUGCUUGAGGACUGGAGAGGAGACUGGAAUUUACGGUGUAGCGGUGAAAUGCGUAGAUAUCGUGAAGGAAGACCAGUGGCGAAAGGCGGGUCUCUGGACAGUUCCUGA
rnacentral:rRNA from 1 species